GCUCAGAAUGAACGUUGGCGGCGUGGAUUAGGCAUGCAAGUCGAGGGAGAACCCGCAAGGGGGACACCGGCGAACGGGGUAGGAUCACGUAGGUGACGUACCCUCAGGGCGAGGAUAGCCACGGGAAACUGUGGGUAAUACUCGAUAACCUUCUCGAAUGUGAUGGUUUGAGAAGCAAUGGGUGUGAUUCCACCUGAGGAGCGGCUUACGCAGUAUCAGCUAGUUGGUGAGGUAACGGCUCACCAAGGCUUUGACGCUUAGGGGGUGUGAGAGCAUGGCCCCCACCACUGGCACUGAGACACUGGCCAGACACCUACGGGUGGCUGCAGUCGAGAAUCUUCGGCAAUGGACGAAAGUCUGACCGAGCGACGCCGCGUGCGGGAUGAAGGUCUUCGGAUUGUAAACCGCUGUCAGAGGGGAUGAAGUAUACGAGAGCUAUCUCUUGUAUUUGACAGAGCCUCAGAGGAAGCACGGGCUAAGUUCGUGCCAGCAGCCGCGGUAAUACGAACUGUGCGAACGUUAUUCGGAAUCACUGGGCUUAAAGGGUGCGUAGGCGGUUUUCUAAGUCACGUGUGAAAUCUUCCGGCUCAACCGGAAAACUGCGCGUGAUACUGGAUAACUUGAGUGAGGUAGGGGUGUGUGGAACUUCCGGUGGAGCGGUGAAAUGUGUAGAGAUCGGAAGGAACGCCAGCAGCGAAAG
rnacentral:rRNA from 1 species